rnacentral:rRNA from 1 species
GACGAACGCUGGCGGCGUGCUUAACACAUGCAAGUCGAACGGAAAGGCCCUGUUUUUGUGCGGUGCUAUAGAGGCGCAAAGGUGUGUAACACGCGUGGAUCACCUGCUCAUCUUUGGGAUAACAUCAGCGAAAUGGGGCUCAUACCGGACAUGAGUCUCCGCAGCACGGGGGGGGUUGGAAAGAUUGGGCGGUUGGUGAUGGACACGGGGGUUCUCAGGUUGUUGGUGGGGUAGUGGCUGACCAAGGCUUUGACGGGUAGCCGGCAUGAGAGGGUGGCCGGGCACAUUGGGACUGCGAUACGGACCAGAAUGCUACGGGCGGCAGCAGUGGGGAAUCUUGCACAAUGGGCGGAAGUCUGAUGCAGCAGCGCCGCGUGCGGGAUGACGGCCUUCGGGUUGUAAACCGCUUUCGCCGGUGACGAAGCGUGAGUGACGGUAAUUGGUAAAGAAGCACCGGCUAACUACGUG